rnacentral:rRNA from 1 species
CUUUACUGUAGCCUGGUAUUGGGUUCGGGCUUUGACUGCGCAGGAUAGGUGGGAGACUGAGAAGUGUGCCUUGUGGGGCACAUAGAGUCAACGGUGAGAUACCACUCUAUCAGAGCUAGAAUUCUAACCUUCACCCGUGAUCCGGGGAAGGAACCGUAUCAGGUAGGCAGUUUGACUGGGGCGGUCGCCUCCUAAAAGGUAACGGAGGCGCGCAAAGGUGUUCUCAGGCUGGUUGGAAAUCAGCCGUAGAGUGUAAAGGCAGAAGAACGCUUGACUGUGUGAGUGACAACUCAAGCAGGGUGGAAACACGGCCUUAGUGAUCCGACGGUAUGCGCGUGGAAGUGCCGUCGCUCAACGGAUAAAAGUUA